ensembl:lncRNA
AGACAUGGGAAGCCUGACCACCGAUGAGGACUAAGCUUUCCAGCCACUCUGACCCAAGCCUAUAGAAAUGUAUGGGAUUGUUGUGAUCUAAGUGCAGCACCUGGCACUCAGUCUUCUUGAGCCUCAUGCAAUUUCUAGUCCUAAGGCCUAUGAACUUAUGAAAGUUAUAAGAAAAGGUGACAGUCCUGACCAUUAGAUGAUCAUUACGCUCUGUAUUGUCAGAUCAUUAUCCUUUGCACCAUGGCAUAGCUCUGUGAUGAAUGGAGACCAUGUGCAGAUUUCUACCUGAAGGGCAGCUUCAGCUCAACAGGCAAUUCUACCUGGGUGAUAGAGCCAGGGUUUCAUUUAUCUACUACCCUAUAGCAUUCAAUGCUGAUUCCGCUGGUGAUUUACAACUUUGAAAAACGUAUUUAAUGGACAUAGCAUGUGUUACACAGAGAGGAAUAGACCUUGAAGACAACACUUGCUUUACUGAUUCUAUAAAAGUAAAGGAGGAAAGAAUGUGAUGUUUCACAUAAGCCCAACAGACUAUAUAAACAGAACACAUCAAGCCAGCACAUUCUCUUUACUACUGGAAAAAAAAAGGCUAUGAGCAAGCAGCUGGGAGACAUUAAAGGAUAAACACUUUAGUAGUGUAUAGUAUUAUGUACACAUUCCACGGCCGUACCACUUUACGAUGUGAUCAAACAAAAUGUCACAAGCAAAGAAGAGAUGAGCUAGUUUGGUACUCAUCCAAAAGACCUCCAAGGAGCCCAUAGCUACUGCAGGAAGUGAUGUUAGCAAUUCACAGGAUGGUAUUUUUCCAUGAGCAAGCAACCAAUUGUGAUUAAAGAGGUGACUGCUUGCAAAUUGUUUUCAGUAUGUAAAGAAAAAGUUGGUUUCUGAGAACUUCUUCAAUGCAAGAGGCACCAACUAAUUUUUUUCCACUUAUGUAAAUUUUAAUGCUUUUCCAAGAAGGAUGUGGUUGACAUCAGUGUCACAUCAAUUCUGAUCAAGCUGUUGAUGUGCAAAGGAACAGACCAAAUCAAAAUCAUUCAAAACUAAGAGUGGUAGUAGGUUGGGGUAAGUCAAAUUUAAGCAAUUUUUUUUUUUUAUAGAUGCACAGUAGAAUCACUUUUUGCGAGUAAUAGAAUAAUAAGUUGAGUGGCAGGUUACCAUCAAGAAAAAAAAAAUGGAUUACAAAGAUGGACAAUAGGCCAAUAGUUAGACAGUAUUCAUUUUGUAUUGUAAUACUUCUGAUUAAUAUGAGCUGUUUUCAUAACAUUUUCUUUAGUCAAAAAAUGUAUAUUUGACCAUCCAGAAAUUGUUCUCUUUGGGGGGUGGCUGGAUUCAUUGAAAAAUGUUAUCAAUCUUUUUUUCCAAAUUAUAUUUUUAAAGAUACUGAUAUGAUGGUUCCAAUGUUUUGCACAAUUACCCAAUAGCCAACAUAUUCAUUCAAUAUAUGCAAGGUCAAGGUUCAUAGUUUUCCUUUGCUUCACAACAUUUGGCCCACUGUUCUGAUCAAUACUUUUACUCCUGCUUUCUGGAACAUUCUGCAAAGGAUCAUAUUCAUUUUCUCCGAAGUACAAAAUGAAAUGUCAAUAGCAAUUAUACAUAGCCUAGAGCAGGAAAAAGAUAAUGCUCAAUCAGUUAGGUGAAACUCUAAAGUGACUUGAUGCAAGAUUUCAUGUAACAUCUUUCCAUAGAUGUAAAUAGAGAAACUUCUAGAAAGCAGCACAGUUCAUAUUAAAGUAGGAACAAGAUGCAACUCAUCCCACUAGAUUUAAUUGUAUGAUGAAAAUACAAGAUACAGUUUACCAAAACAUUGUUGUCUAAAUAUAUAUAUCAACAUGUAAGCUGUGAUCUUAAGGUACAGUUCAAGUCAAAGGAGAUUUAAAGGACAUUAAAACCAAUACAGAAAAUGGUAUCUCUAUUCUGAUUCACAUCUAAUUAAAGUGGACAAAUAGUUUUAUUUUGCAUUUUUUUAAUACAUUCCCAAAAUAAUAAAAUAGAUAUAAAAGAAACCAUUGUAUUCUAACUGAAAUUUGUUAACCUUUACAUUUCAGUUAAAAAGAGAGAAAAGAGACAGAUACAGAGAGAAAAUCAUUGGCUUCCAAUCAGAUUACUUUUUUGAUUAUAAAACUAAAAAUAUAUUACUCAUCAAUCCCUGUACUUAAUAGUCAUUUAUCUAAACACAGUAUUAUCAUAUCCUUUGCACCAAUUAAUUCUGCAUUAUUUUGGUUUGCAGAUCCACAGUUUUGAAUCUAUUUGCAAAGCUACUAUGGAUGAAGUUCUCAUUGUUCUUUAAUGCUUUGUUGCUAAUUGCUACUUUUGGAUUUACUUUUCAUACUGAUUGGAUUUACUUUUCAUACUGAAAUCAGGAGAAAAUAGAUGAACAUAAUCUCAAUGUUGUAAUGAUGUGGAUUUAUUUUCUUUAACUUUCUUCUACAAAUUGUAAGUUAUGAGACUAAUUUGAUGUAGUGCUUUUUAUGUCUAGCGAAAGUAAAUGACAGCUUGUUAAAGCACUUUGCUGUAAGCUGCAUUUGAAUUAGGAUUUUUUUAUUCAUUGACAUAUUAAAAAAAAAUAGAUAAAGACUGACUGAAUUCUAUCAUAUUUAUUAGAUAUUUGAAAGAUAAAUCACAUAUUUUUUCAUUAAAUGGUAUUUCUUAAUGUAUAUUAAAGGAAAUAAACAGUGUUUAAAAGCAGCUUUACAGAACAAACCUCAGGGUUGAUAAGAAGCUUGUUGAUCUUGGCGAGCACAUUUCACCUUAUGUUAUUUGUGGUUCUGGUAAAGAUAAAAAAUAGCUGAGUUUGAUUGUAUGUUUUGAUGUCUGUACUAUCAAAAAGAAUCUUUUAACUUACUUUGAUUAUAUGGUAGCUGAGCCAUCUAUUGGUAAUAGGUUUAACAGUGCCUUUUGACAGUGUUAUGUAACCACCUCAUUUGUUCAGGACAUUCACAAACUAAGGACCUUUCCUCCUUGUUCCAGCUUGUUUAUUCUCAUUUAAUCACAGUUUUCUUCUCCAUAAAUUGCAUUUUUUUUCCUGUCUUUGGGAUGCCUGUCUUUUUACCAACACAAAGAAAACAUCUCAGUUCUUUUAUUCAGUUUCUUCUUACAGAUAUCACUUCUGGCAUUUUGCCACUGAGUACAUUUAAUGUUGAAUUUCCUGUUGUUUUUAAUAACAUACUUUGUUUCUAGUAUUAAAAAUCAUUACUACCG